CUUGACGCAUGUCCAUUGUGCGUGUGCUUGUGAACUUUAUCUCAUGCCUCACAGAUAGACUACUACUGUAUUUUUACCAUUUUUCUUUCACCUCAUAUUUGGUCUCAAAUGCUGAUACUAUGUGGGAAUGCAUAAAGGAUGCGGCGUUGCUGUGUGAACGCGUACACAGUUGUGGCAAUACUUUGCUGGGUUCUGUGUAAAAAGCACAGGCAAAACGGAUCUACUGCUCUGAUGCUGCAGUUUUGCCGCCGAUAAACGUCCUGUUACAUCGAAAAACCUGGUCUCCCGCCCUGAGCUGAUGCGCGAAGGAUGCCGGGAAGAAGCCAAUCCUGUCCUCAAUUAGCCCCUGGAAUAUAUCAAACAACUAAUAGGUGACAUGUGGAGGGAACUGCAAGGCCCACAAGAGGAUUUUGCAGCGUUCAGAAGUGCUGAUAAAAGCUCAACAGUUCCAGUGCUAGCGUUACGUCAGGGUUGCGUCUUGUGAAAGUAUUCAAACAGGCCAGAUGUCUGUGUUUAUCCACAGCCUGAUGAGAAGCAGCAGUCUUAAAUGCACGAGGAGUUUGUUCACGGUUCAUUUUUUUGCUGCUUUAGGGAAAGAGCAAACAUUAUCAUUGCAUUGGAAGUGUGAUUCACGGCUAAUAAACGAGUCAGUUUCCCUAAUAGGAUCAAGAAGUCACGGUGCGUAAAAGGUAAUUUAACGCCUACCUUCCACCAAUCAUCAUUGGAGUCAUCAGCAAGCAAUAUUCUGUCUCCCGCCCUGCAAUAAACAACAAAACAAAGGAGAAAUCAGCAAAAAUGGUAGGAUUAAUAUCGGGUCAAAUCACACUGCCGUUUGUCAUGUAGCUAAAUACAUUUCUGAGCUAUCUUUAGUUAGCCGGCUAGCUGCUAGGAAAAGCUAGCUUUUUUUUUCAUUAAUAAUUUUACUGACAUUUUUAAAAGAUUAUAUCCUAUUCAGUUUGAAUUGGGAUUUUUAACAGUGGGUAGUUGAAAGAAUGUUCCUCCCUUUUUCUGGUUGUGUUAAUGUAAGUUUAUGGGUGCUAAAUAGGCUAAACUAACAUUGCUUUCAUAGUAGCGUAACCUAGUUCAGAAUUUCUGGACUUUUUUGUUCAGUUGUUUUGUUUUUAACAGUGGCUAGUUUAGAAUGGCUACAAUUUUCAAUCAUUAUUAUAUGUGUUUAUGUUUCUUAUGUUCUUAUUCUUUCUUGUGUUUUUCUUUCUUUUCCUUGGGAGAAUGAACAGAAUAAGAUUUUCAUUGCAUGGUAUAACUGCUGUUUUACCAUGCACAUGACAAUAAAACUCUCUUGAAUCUUAUUGUUGUGCUAAACUUACAUGUAUGGGCGCUAGAUACGCUAGGCUAACAUUGCUUUCACAGUCGCUUUAAUAGCGUAAUCUGGUUCAAAAUUUCUGGACUUUGUUGUUCAGCAUAUUUUUUUUAAAUCUACAAAUAAAUACUUGCAAUAAGUAAAAAUAAAAUAAAAAAUAUCAAUUUAAAGUUUGAAAUUGUGCUUUUUAACAAUAGCUAGUAUGAAAGAAUGUUCCACUCUUUUUUGGGGGGGGUUAAGAUAAGUUUAUGGCCGCUAGAUAGGCUAAGCGAGCUUUCCUUUUACAGUAGCUAUAAUAGCAAAACCUAGUUUAAAUUUUAUUGUGUAUUUUACAAUUGUAGACUACUAAAUACUUGCGAGAUGUGAAAAUAUAUAUGUCUACAAAUAAUGCACAUUAAAAAGACAUUUAUUAUUUUGAUUUUUUUUAUGUUUUAAAAUUGUGUAUAUGUGUGUGUGUAUAUAUAUAUAUAUAUAUGUGUGUGUGUAAGUGCAUGUGUGUGUAUGUAAAAAUAUAUACAUAUAUAUUAUGUUUGUUGUUAAAACAAUACCAAAUGAAUAUGAUCAUAACCAAAUGUGUUUCAUGAGGUGAUUAUCCAUUUAUAUGGUUUCACCGACGGCCAUAACGGCAAUGUGGCCCACAGUGAACGCGAGUUUGACGCCCCUGAACGACAGUGUUAGCACAGACAGUAAGCGACUAUGCUAAAAUUGAUUUCACAGUAGCUUUCAUGGCUCCACAUAGCUGAAACUGCUAAACUGCUUAAAAGAACAAUUAGAAAUUGUAAUAUGUGAUAAAAAAAAAAAAUCACCUU